AAUCAGAACAUGUGUUGAAAAAUAGCCUCCUAGUUUGAUGGUUUUCUAAAAUAUUUAUUAAAAAUAAAAGAAAAGAAAAGAAAUCUUAUCCGGAAUGCGUAACAAUUCUUGUCUUACAAUCGUUAUCUGUGGUGCUAUGUUAUUCCUGAUCGUCACAGCUGUCGUGACCAUCCUAUUUUCCGAAAUGUUAGGCGAAAGAGGCAACUACAUUGAUGCCAUACCCGUUUUUUAUUUGAUUUUCUCAAAAGAUCUGCUUUGAAACGGGAAAACAGGUGUAUUCUUUAUAUUCACAACUGUUCAAGUUUGGAUUCUUUAAUGUUCCGAGUUUGAAAAUAUGUCGGUAAGAAAUGGAAGAAGCAAGAAGGAAGUCUUCGGGGGUGGAGAAGCCGAGGUCCUCUACGUCGCACCCUAGGUCGGUAAAGUCCGAACAUUCCGACGAUUCCAUAUUAACCUACACGUCGCAGAGGUUCGAUUUUGAAGCACAAAUUUAAAUUUCGAAAACUAAGCCGUCCUCGAUUUUCAGCGAACAGCCCAGACUAUCGCAUAGGAUGAAAAAGUACAAGCCAUACCUGUUUGGACUCGGCGCAAUCACUGGAUUGCUUUUGAUUUUCAUAACCUUGAAGAUGUUAAUGGACAAACAAGCACCACGUCAUCACUAACAUGAAUUUCUCUUCAGAAACGAUUUAUCGCCACACGUCCACCAUUUCUUGACAGAAGCGCGUUUAUUUGCCUCCGGGGGCUCGAGUGGAUGCAGGAUAGACAAUGAACGCUCGUUUAUUCUCAGCACACCGGGUCGCUCAUUAAAGAUAGGUUUUUUCAUGUGUUUUUUUAAACAACUGUA